rnacentral:rRNA from 1 species
GAUGAACGCUAGCGGCAGGCUUAACACAUGCAAGUCGAGGGGCAGCAUGAUAAGUAGCAAUACUUAUUGAUGGCGACCGGCGCAAGGGUGCGUAACGCGUGAGUAACAUGCCCGUAUCAGGAGGAUAACCCGGAGAAAUCCGGACUAAUACUGCAUAAUAUCGAUUUAAGGCAUCUUAGAAUGAUUAAAGUUUCGACGGAUACGGAUUGGCUCGCGUGACAUUAGCUAGAUGGUAAGGUAACGGCUUACCAUGGCGACGAUGUCUAGGGGUUCUGAGAGGAAGGUCCCCCACACUGGAACUGAGACACGGUCCAGACUCCUACGGGAGGCAGCAGUGAGGAAUAUUGGUCAAUGGACGCAAGUCUGAACCAGCCAUGCCGCGUGCAGGAUGACGGCUCUAUGAGUUGUAAACUGCUUUUGUACAAGGGUAAACCUCGGUACGUGUACCGAGCUGAAAGUACUGUACGAAUAAGGAUCGGCUAACUCCG